UGACCAAAAUGUUGCUGCUCAAUCUUU
rnacentral:piRNA from 1 species